AGGGGUGUGACGUGGAAGGUCAGCUCGGAUCUUUCACAUAGUUGGAGUAAAUAGGUGUCAGUUGAGGUAUCGGACACCUGCAAAGAAAGUCCACUCACGAUGGAGAAGGAGAUGGGGGGGUUUUCGAUGAAGGACCUUCUGAUGCUUAAGUUAGAGUAUCGGAGAGGGAGAAUAGUAAAGAAAGAUGGUGAGAAUAGACUGAGGAGUAGCGUUCAAAGAGCUUCCUUCUUUUUUCCUUUUCCUUUUAUAAGGAGAGGUUUGUUAGGCGGUUAGCAACCACUGUAACUGAAG
rnacentral:lncRNA from 1 species